AAAUUGAAGAGUUUGAUCAUGGCUCAGAUUGAACGCUGGCGGCAGGCCUAACACAUGCAAGUCGAACGGUAACAGGAAGCAGCUUGCUGCUUCGCUGACGAGUGGCGGACGGGUGAGUAAUGUCUGGGAAACUGCCUGAUGGAGGGGGAUAACUACUGGAAACGGUGGCUAAUACCGCAUAACGUCGCAAGACCAAAGAGGGGGACCUUCGGGCCUCUUGCCAUCAGAUGUGCCCAGAUGGGAUUAGCUUGUUGGUGAGGUAACGGCUCACCAAGGCGACGAUCCCUAGCUGGUCUGAGAGGAUGACCAGCCACACUGGAACUGAGACACGGUCCAGACUCCUACGGGAGGCAGCAGUGGGGAAUAUUGCACAAUGGGCGCAAGCCUGAUGCAGCCAUGCCGCGUGUAUGAAGAAGGCCUUCGGGUUGUAAAGUACUUUCA
rnacentral:rRNA from 1 species